UACGGGGGGAGCAAGCGUUGUUCGGAUUUACUGGGCGUAAAGGGCGCGUAGGCGGCGUGCUAAGUCGAACGUGAAAUCCCCGGGCUCAACCCGGGAACUGCGUCCGAGACUGGCAGGCUUGAAUCCGGGAGAGGGAUGUGGAAUUCCAGGUGUAGCGGUGAAAUGCGUAGAUAUCUGGAGGAACAUCGGUGGCGAAGGCGGCAUCCUGGACCGGUAUUGACGCUGAGGCGCGAAAGCCAGGUGAGCAAACGGG
rnacentral:rRNA from 1 species